rnacentral:tRNA from 1 species
CGGGGUGUGGUGCAAUGGUAGCAUGAGUCUUUUGGGAAGAUUUGAUCCGAGUUCGAAUCUCGGCACCCCGA